AACGAACGCUGGCGGCAUGCCUAACACAUGCAAGUCGAACGAGACCUUCGGGUCUAGUUGCUCACGGGUGCGUAACGCGUGGGAACCUUCCCUUAGGUUCGGAAUAACUCCCCGAAAGGGGUGCUAAUACCGGAUAAUUUCUUCGGACCAAAGAUUUAUCGCCUUUGGAUGUGCCCGCGUUGUAUUAGCUAUUUGGUAGGGUAAAAGCCUACAAGGCGACGAUCCAUAGCUGGUCUGAGAGGAUGAUCAGCCACACUGGGACUGAGACACGGCCCAGACUACUACGGGAGGCAGCAGUGGGGAAUAUUGGACAAUGGGCGAAAGCCUGAUCCAGCAAUGCCGCGUGAGUGAUGAAGGACUUAGGGUUGUAAAGCUCUUUUAACCGGGAUGAUAAUGACAGUACCGGGAGAAUAAGCUCCGGCUAACUCCGUG
rnacentral:rRNA from 1 species